GGGAGCAAAUAGAGUAUAAAGCAUAAGAAAGUAAAAAAAAAGGAAAAACAAUAACAAAAUGUUCAUUAAUUGAUUAAGAAAAGAAAUUCAAAAAAAUGAAUGACAAAGUAAAUGAAAGUAUAUAAGAAGAAUCAAGUCAAGUUUUAGUCACUUGGAAACACACCUUAAGGAUGAAAUCAGUGCAAAAGUAUGUUUAAAUAGGGGGAGUUUAUUUGAAAAAAAAAAAAUUUGAUCAUUGACAUGCUUGCUAUUUUAAUGCAUGACUUAACACAUAAUAUAUUUUGCAUGUGGCAUGAUGUCUGAAAUUAUGGAUUCUCAAUAUUUUGUAAUGUUCCAUGAUUGGAUAAUCUGAUUGAAUGUUUGAAAUACUAUAUGAAGUUAUUUUAUUUUAUUAUUGAAAAGAAAUUUGUAAAAAGGAGAAGAGAAGGAUAUCUCUAUUUAGGAAAAAUAAAUUGAUUUUGUUCUAUCCUUCAACUUGCCUAAAUUUGGUAUAUAAUGUUCUAAUUCGUACCAAAACUCAACAUUAAAUACAAAGAUUCUGAAUAUGCUCUUAUAUGUUUGAAAUAUGUGGUUUCAAUCGUAAUGAUUUAAGAUGAGCUAUAAUGUGGAAGAUACAUAUCUCAAAUUAUGAUUUUGAAAGCCUCUA
rnacentral:lncRNA from 1 species